GCUAAGCAAUGUUUUAAAUACACACUCGUGGGGCUAUGCAGAGGCUGUGUGGUGGAGGUAAAUAAUAUAUAUACGAUAACAAGAAGAAGAGUUAGAAAUGGGGAAAAAAAUAAAUAAGAGGUGAUGUCGAUUUGAGGGCUGUGGAUCAAGUCAGGUAUUAUCUUGAUAAACACGAAGGAAGGGUAAAAGUGUGACUUGACAAGUUCAAGAGGCCUGUGUUCAUAUUAAGUUGAAGAGUGGCUGGGUCCUUUGCGUUGGCGAGCAAGCAAGCAUCAUCUGCAAACAAUUUACUCAAGAGGGUCGAGCAGUUGGACAAGUCGUUUAUGAAAAGGAGAAAAGCUAAUGGGCCAACUACGGAACCCUGAACAAUUCCGCAGUGGAUGGGCAACAUUGGAGAUCUGUGUGGGCCUACUUCAACA